CGCAGUCUAGUCAAAUUCAGCCCCAUUCCUGCUGUGGUGGGAGCUGGCCAGAUGGCUGCCACAGCAAGCUCCACAGCUCAUGGGCCCUGGCUUUCAUGCUCUGGGAUCUGGGGAUGAGAUUAGCUGUGGACAUGG
ensembl:snoRNA